rnacentral:lncRNA from 1 species
AAAAAAGUCUACCAUACCUUAAAACUAUUUUAUAUAAAUCGGGUCAAUUGGAAGAAAUCAAAAUAGCUUUUAAAUAUCUGGUUUGAUUUUUAAUAUUUUUGUGUGACGCACAGAAAAGCGGAAAUAACACGUAGGAUGCAGAAGAUAUGCUGACGUGGCACUAUUGAUGCAAGGCAAGGAAGAAGAUCUUUGUAAUAAGAAAGGGAGAUUGGAAUCCCAACCGAAAAUGGAAAGGAGAUAUACAUAAGGCGAGGUGGUAUAUAUUCCAUGGAAAAUGAGUUCAGUAGG